rnacentral:rRNA from 1 species
CGCGUAGGCGGUUUUUUAAGUCAGAUGUGUAAUCCCCGAGCUUAACCUUGGGAACUGCAUCUGAGACUGGAAGGCUAGAGUACUGGAGAGGGUGGUGGAAUUCCGUCGUGUAGCGGUGAAAUGCGUAGAGAUGAGGAGGAACACCAGUGGCGAAGGCGGCCACCUGGACAGUAACUGACGCUGAGGCGCGAAAGUGUGGGUAGCAAACAGGAUUAGAUACCCUGGUAGUCCACGCUGUAAACGAUGAACACUUGGUGUGGAGGGAGUUGACCCCUUCCGUGCCGGAGCUAACGCGUUAAGUGUUCCGCCUGGGGAGUACGGUCGCAAGGCUAGAA